AGCCGUGGCAUACUGGUUAGCGCUUCGGACUUGUAACCGGAGGGUUGCUGGUUCGAGCCCCAACCAGUAGGCACGGCUG
rnacentral:tRNA from 1 species